rnacentral:rRNA from 1 species
UACGUAGGGUGCGAGCGUUAAUCGGAAUUACUGGGCGUAAAGCGUGCGCGGGCGGUUAUAUAAGACAGAUGUGAAAGCCCCGGGCUCAACCUGGGAAGUGCAUUGGAUACUGGAAGACUUGAGUACGGGAGAGGGUAGUGGAAUUCCUAGUGUAGGAGUGAAAUCCGUAGAUAUUCGGAGGAACACCAGUGGCGAAGGCGGCUCACUGGUCCAUUACUGACGCUGAGGUGCGAAAGCGUGGGGAGCAAACAGGAUUAGAAA